UGGAUCACCUCCUAACAGGGAGACAACAAAAUGUUUGUAAUAAAUUUUGUCACCUUAGGUCGAUCGGAACCUCUGAUUUUCGAAACUAUCGAAGAUUUCAAUUUCCUAAGUUUUUUCUAGGUCACACCCAUUUUUUUCCUGGGCCAUUAGCUCAGGUGGUUAGAGCGCACCCCUGAUAAGGGUGAGGUCCCUGGUUCAAGUCCAGGAUGGCCCAUAUCUCUAUUGGGGGUAUAGCUCAGUUGGUAGAGCGCCUGCUUUGCAAGCAGGAUGUCAGCGGUUCGAGUCCGCUUACCUCCACUGAAUACCACCUAAUUCAUUUAAGAGGGGAUUUAUCUGGGUAUACCUUCAAUCUGGGAGAAUCUAGCUUCCUGUUAAUUUAAUUAAUAAGAUGCUGGAUUCACUGAAUUACACAAUUCAAUGAUUCCAGAGAACCUUGACAACUGCAUAGAUUUAAUUUUCAAGACAAUAAGCAUCUUUUAAGAUGCAGAUUUAUUAUUGGUGCUAAUGCAUUAAUAACAAUUCUAUUGAGCUGAUGCUUCAAAUUUUUUGAAGUUAUUGGUCAAGCUACAAAGGGCUCAUGGAGGAUACCUAGGCACACAGAGGCGAUGAAGG
rnacentral:tRNA from 1 species